rnacentral:misc_RNA from 1 species
AAGGAUCAUUACCGAGUUCAUGCCCCUCCGGGGGUAGACCUCCCACCCUUGAUUAUCACCCUUCGUUGCUUUGGCGAGCCGCUGUUUAGGCGGCCGCCGGCGGGGAUCUCCCCCGCUGGUGUGUGCUCGCCAGAGAACCACUCAACUCACUGUAUUUAUGUCGUCCGAGUACUAUAUAAUAGUUAAAACUUUCAACAACGGAUCUCUUGGUUCUG